GACGAACGCUGGCGGCGUGCCUAAUACAUGCAAGUAGAACGCAGUUGCGAACGGGUGAGUAACGCGUAGGUAACUGCCUGGUAGCGGGGGAUAACUAUUGGAAACGAUAGCUAAUACCGCAUACUACCAGAUGGACCUGCGUUGUAUUAGCCCGUUGGUAAGGUAACGGCUCACCAAGGCAACGAUACAUAGCCGACCUUAGUGGGUGUUCGGCCAACCUGGGACUUGGAAACGGGCCAGACUCCUACGGGAGGCAGCAAUUAGGAAUCUUCGGCAAAUGGGGGAACCCUGACCGGGCAACGCCGCGUGAGUGAAGAAGGUUUUCGGAUCGUAAAGCUCUGUUGUUAAGGAAGCGGUACUUAACCAGAAAGGGACGGCUAACUACGUGCCAGCAGCCGCGGUAAUUC
rnacentral:rRNA from 1 species